UUUUAACACGUCACGUUUCUGUCAAAUUUGCUUAUUUGCGACUUUGCGUUCAUGGAAAUAAGUUUUCACUUUUAAAAAGAUAUUUUCUUGUUUGCUCUUAAUUUUGCGAAACACUAAUCGUUGCGUAGAAAAUGAGUACGUGGAGAAUGGCCGGUUUGAAUUACGUGAACUACUCGAACAUAGCGGCGAACAUUUUGCGUCGAUCGCUGAAGGCGGAUUUGAAGGAGGCGGCCAUGAAGCGCGGACAGUCUACCAUCAGAUACUUCUACUGGGUCAAUGGGGAACCGCUGCCCGAGGGACACAAGCCGAAGCCAGACGAAAAGGGAAAAGCUUGAUAUUUAUUUUGUACCUACGGUUCAUUUUUUAGAUAGUAUAUUAAUAUUAUAUAAAUCCUUUAAGGUAGGAUACAUUAUAGGAAAUAUUUUAAAUGGUCAUCUCUUUUGAUCUCUUCAUGGAAUCCCAAUUUAAGAAUCGUAUAUCUGCUAUUCAUCAGUCCGUCUACCACUGAAUAGGUACUUCGUUUCUCAUAAUAUGUCACAUAACAGAAUCAAAUAAAUAACAUACAAAGAGAUUUUCCUCCGUGUUAAUGACCUUACGAAAUGCCGUGCGCGAGGCUGACUCGGACUUGGCCGAAUUAUAAAUAGGAACCACGCGUACCUUUCCCGUUCUUGCUUAAUUGUCUUUAAAUAAUAUUUCAAAUACCUACUUAUCUAAUGCGCGAAAUGAAUAAAAUAUAUAGAAUGCAGGUAAAUAAAUAUAAAAAGCAAUUUGAAAAAAUAUAAGUUAAAAUUGCUAAACCCGAAUUAUUUAUUUAUUUUAUUAUCUUUCAUUCAUUUCUUGUGUUAUUUAAAUAAUUGCUAGACAAAUAAUUUAUUUUAAAAGUGAUAAGGCGAGGACGAGGUAUAUUUUGUUGUUAACACCAAACUAUUGUAUGAAUUAUUUUGAACAGAUAAUGGGAUUGUGAUUUUGUGAUAUACUUAUCGUAAAAAUAUUUGCUGAAUGAGAAACAUUAUUUUUUUGGUUUGUAUAGUAGAAUUCUAGCCAACAGCCUGUGUAUCUUGAUGUCCUUUACAGAAAAUAAAUGUUCCUACAAUUAUGAUUACAAAGUAUUUAAACCAUUUGAA